rnacentral:misc_RNA from 1 species
GCAAACUUGGUCAUUUAGAGGAAGUAAAAGUCGUAACAAGGUCUCCGUUGGUGAACCAGCGGAGGGAUCAUUACCGAGUUUACAACUCCCAAACCCCAAUGUGAACGUUACCUUUUCUGUUGCCUCGGCGGGAUCGCCCCGGGCGCGUCGCAGCCCCGGAGCCAAGGCGCCCGCCGGAGGAAAACACCAAACUCUUUUAUCUGAACCUGCCUCGCGGCGGGGAAUUUUAUACUUCUGAAAACUUCUUAAAUGAAUCAAAACUUUCAACAACGGAUCUCUUGGUUCUGGCAUCGAUGAAGAACGCAGC